rnacentral:rRNA from 1 species
UACAGAGGUCCCAAGCGUUGUUCGGAAUCACUGGGCGUAAAGGGUGCGUAGGCGGGUCUUUAAGUCAGGGGUGAAAUCCUGGAGCUCAACUCCAGAACUGCCUUUGAUACUGAAGGUCUUGAGUUCGGGAGAGGUGAGUGGAACUGCGAGUGUAGAGGUGAAAUUCGUAGAUAUUCGCAAGAACACCAGUGGCGAAGGCGGCUCACUGGCCCGAUACUGACGCUGAGGCACGAAAGCGUGGGGAGCAAACAGG